CCCACUCUGUUUGUCUUCUUUAGGGUGGCUCACAAUCUCAAGGCAACCCCAACGCUUGUCCUCCGGGGAUAGAUACUUCUUCCAACAACAGAAAUAGAUGCUGAGUGCAAUAUGUGUUGAAACAGAAAACUGGUCUGGAGAGGAAGAAUAGAAUUCAAUAGUCACGAGAGCAACUGGAAUUUCUCAAAGUUCAAAUGCAUUGCAAAAUUACCUGUCUGCGUUGCCUCCCUGACACCUCAUGCUGCAGAACAGAAAUGUUCGUGUUUUCACAAGUCAAAAGCAGGAGUCGUGAAGUGAAAUAAAAACAACUUUUUCCUUAAAA